rnacentral:tRNA from 3 species
GCCCAGGUGGCGAAAUUGGUAGACGCACUACCUUGAGGUGGUAGCGCUGGAAACGGCGUGCUGGUUCGAAUCCAGUCUUGGGCACAA